rnacentral:lncRNA from 13 species
CAUGUAAUCCCUCCUUUGCCAGGCUGCUCAGGUUCAGACCUGUUGAGGAGGAAGGGUGGUCUGCUGGUUGAGCCAUUACCUGGGCUGGGAGCUCCGUUCCGGCUGAAAUGAUCCCAGAGAAAUCAUGUCAUCUCCCUGUGGUUCUGGUUUAUAAGGAGAAGGACCUCGUAAGCUCCAACUCCUGUGGGUCUUCCAGGCAAAAAUAAAGGCUUUUGUUAAGUCUGUAGGAGAGAGCAAGUAGAAGGGAUGAGCCACCUAGUUAAGCUGAAUAAAAGUCUCGUGGUGACAUUGCUCUGAUGAGGAGCAGCAUGAACUGGUGGUUAAGAUUUGUGAAGAUUUGGAAGGGAUGCCCUCUGCCCAUCCCCUCUAACACCCCUACAGCCAAGCUCCAGGUGUGA